rnacentral:rRNA from 1 species
UACGAAGGGUGCAAGCGUUAAUCGGAAUUACUGGGCGUAAAGGGUGCGUAGGCGGUUGUUUAAGUCUGUCGUGAAAUCCCCGGGCUCAACCUGGGAAUGGCGAUGGAUACUGGACAGCUAGAGUGUGUCAGAGGAUGGUGGAAUUCCCGGUGUAGCGGUGAAAUGCGUAGAGAUCGGGAGGAACAUCAGUGGCGAAGGCAGCCCCCUGGGUUAACACUGACGCUCAGGCACGAAAGCGUGGGGAGCAAACAGG